rnacentral:lncRNA from 1 species
ACGGGGGUUACUGGUUACACACUCGCGAAGCGCACGGCGCAUGCAUGCGUGGAUCAAGUUAGGGCAUCUCCAAUAGUUUGUUGGUUAGCUCGUUGAUAAAAUAUGCCAUGUCAUCAGUCAACACCUUAACAUACAACUACUUCAAUAGGUUUUAUCUAGUUUGCUCAAUAAGAUGUGAGAUAAAAAUAAGGUGCUCUCUCAUUCUACAUUGAAGCUUGUGCAAAUGUGUUGGUUAAUUUACAUACAACCUUGCUCUCUUUCCUCAUUUAUUGCAUGACACAUCAUCAAAAAUCCUAUGUGUCAAAAUUAUCAACCACUAUC